rnacentral:rRNA from 1 species
GGGGGAAAAUUAAUAAAUUAUAAAUAAUAAAAAAAUUUUUAAAUAAAAUAUUUUGGGGGGUUAAAGUAUUUUUAUAGAAAAAAUUAAAAAAUUUAUAGUUAAAUAGUAUUGUGAAAGAAUUUUGAAAUAAAUGAAAAUUAAUUUUUUUUAAAGUAAAUUUAAUUUGUUGUAUCUUGUGUAUCAGAGUUUAUAAAUAAAUUAUUAUGGGUAUAAAUUUCUCGAAUUUUAAAGAGUUAAUUAAUUAUAAGAGUUAAUGUUGAAUAAUUAUUUUUAAUAGUUAAUUAGAAAUGAAAUGUUAAUCGUUUUAAAAGAUAUCUAGUUUUUUUAGAAAAAAAUUUAAUUUUGAAUAUUAAUUUUUAAUUUAUUUUUUAAUUUAAUAAAUUAAUAUAAUUAUUAUUUAAUAUUUUAAGGGAUAAGCUUUAAAAUAAAAUUUUAUAAUAAAUAUUUAAUUAAUAUUAAAUUUUUAGAAUUUAUAUUGUUAAAUAAAUUAUAAUCUUCGUAAAAUUUUAACUUUUUCAUCUAUUAAUAAUUUAGGUUGAAUAUUAAUAUCUUUAAUAAUUAGAAAUAAUUUAUGAUUAAUAUAUUUUUUAUUUUAUUCUUUUUUUAUUAGAAUUGUAUGUUACAUAUUUAAUAUAUUUUAUUAUAAAUAUAUUAAAAUAAUUAUAAAAUAUUUAUAAUUUAUAAAAAGGAAUUCGGCAAAAUUUUAUAUUCACUUGUUUAUCAAAAACAUGUCUUUUUGAAAUAAUUUAAAGUCUAGUCUGCCCACUGAUAAUUAUUAAAGGGCUGCAGUAUUUUGACUGUACAAAGGUAGCAUAAUCAUUUGUCUCUUAAUUAGUGACUUGUAUGAAAGAUUGGAUGAAAUAUAAACUGUCUCAAUAUAAUUUAUAAAAUUUAAUUUUUUAGUCAAAAAGCUAAAAUAAAUUUAAAAGACGAGAAGACCCUAUAGAGUUUUAUAUUUUUUUUUAUAAUAAUAAAAUGUAAAUUUUUAAAUUAAAAUAAAAAAAAUUAUUUUGUUGGGGUGACAAAAAAAUUUAAAUAACUUUUUUUAAAAAAAAUUACAUUAAUUUAUGAUAAAUUGAUCCAUUAAUAAUGAUUAUAAGAAAAAAUUACCUUAGGGAUAACAGCGUAAUUUUUUUUUUUAGGCCAAAUAAGAAAAAAAGUUUGCGACCUCGAUGUUGGAUUAAGAUAAAAUUUAAAUGCAAAAGUUUAAAAUUUUUGAUCUGUUCGAUCAUUAAAAUCUUACAUGAUCUGAGUUCAAACCGGUGAAAGCCAGGUUGGUUUCUAUCUUUAGAAAAAUAUAAUAUUUUAGUACGAAAGGAUCAAAUAUUGAAAAUAAUUUUAUGUUUAUGAAUAUUAUUAAAUAUAGUUAUA